GAUUAUGGCUCAGAACGAACGCUGGCGGCACGCCUAACACAUGCAAGUCGGACGGUAUGGAUAGCUUGCUAUUCAUAUAGUGGCGGACUGGUGAGUAAUAUGUAGGAAUCUGCCCAUAGGUUAGGGAUAGCACCGGGAAACUGGUGGUAAUACCUGAUAAGCUGGAGACAGGAAAGGAGCAAUUCGCCGAUGGAGGAGCCUAUAUCUGAUUAGAUAGUUGGAGGUGUAAGAGACCACCAAGUCGAUGAUCGGUAGCUGUUCUGAGAGGAAGAUCAGCCACAGUUGGGACUGAGAUACCGGACCCAAACUCCGUACGGGAGGCAGCAGGUGGGGAAUAUUGGACAAUGGAAGGAAACUCUGAUCCAGACCGAUGCCGCGUGAGUAGAAAGGAAGGCCGUUCGGGUUAGUAAAGCUUCUUUUGUCAGGGACGAUGAUGACGGUACCUGAAGAAUAAGCACCGGCUAACUCUGUGCCAGCCGCCGC
rnacentral:rRNA from 1 species